CUUGUACUUGGUUUUCAGCAGGAGAACCGUUAUGCGAUAGUGGAUGUAUGCUACCCCCAGGCUCCUGCUGGUUUUAUCCGCGAACAGAGUAAUAUUGUUGCUAGACAGUUGCUCCGUCUCCGACGUCCUUUCAUUUCUUAUGUAACUGAUGCUACGGGUGCUGAGCUCUUUAGGGUUCGUAGACCUUUUUGGUGGUUAACCAGCUCAAUUUAUGCUGAGGUUGAUGGUAAGGAAGUUGGUGUUGUUCAUAGACGAUGGCAUCUUUGGAAGAGGAUCUAUGAUUUGUACCUGGGGAGUAAGCAGUUUGCGGUAGUCGAAAACCCUGGCUUUUGGAAUUGGACAUUUACUUUGAAGGAUAUUGAUGGGGAGGUGCUGGCUGAAAUAGAUCGUGAUUGGAGGGGUUUUGGCUUUGAGAUCUUUACUGAUGCUGGUCAAUAUGUAAUUCGCUUUGGCAGUUCUGAUCCCAGUUCCAGGAGCCAUGAUGGAUCGAUCCAAGAGUUAGAAGUCAAGCGUCCACUUACUCUAUCUGAGAGGGUUGUAGCCAUAGCUCUUGCUAUAUCUUUGGAUAAUGAUUACUUCUCCCGUCAUGGUGGCUGGGGAAUCCCUUUUCAUUGCUGUUGAUCAAUAGGAUCAGCCAAGCUUUGGAGGCAAUGCAAUUCUUUCUCAAUUAUAUGCAUUUGUGUUUCAUUAGAGAUAUUCUUUUAACCAAAACAUGAUUUAUACUACAAUAAUGAGGGAUUGGCUUGUCUUGUGAGAUCUUAUCAUUGGUGAAGGCUGCAAGUAUUUGAAGGUUGUACAAUGGGGGAUUUGGUGGCAGUUGUCCUUGCAUGUCAGUACCAUCAAAUAAUUGCAAACUUGGUGCAUUUGGAAUAAGGACUUCCUUCCUUGAUAAGUCAAGGCAAUUCUGACUA